UGAGAAUGUAACUGGCUCGCUCAUCCC
rnacentral:piRNA from 1 species